GAUGAACGCUGGCGGCGUGCCUAAUACAUGCAAGUCGAGCGAACAGAUGAGGAGCUUGCUCCUCUGACGUUAGCGGCGGACGGGUGAGUAACACGUGGAUAACCUACCUAUAAGACUGGGAUAACUUCGGGAAACCGGAGCUAAUACCGGAUAAUAUAUUGAACCGCAUGGUUCAAUAGUGAAAGACGGUUUUGCUGUCACUUAUAGAUGGAUCCGCGCCGCAUUAGCUAGUUGGUAAGGUAACGGCUUACCAAGGGAACGAUGCGUAGCCGACCUGAGAGGGUGAUCGGCCACACUGGAACGUAGACACGGUCCAGACUCCUACGGGAGGCAGCAGUAGGGAAUCUUCCGCAAUGGGCGAAAGCCUGACGGAGCAACGCCGCGUGAGUGAUGAAGGUCUUCGGAUCGUAAAACUCUGUUAUUAGGGAAGAACAAAUGUGUAAGUAACUAUGCACGUCUUGACGGUACCUAAUCAGAAAGCCACGGCUAACUACGUG
rnacentral:rRNA from 1 species